rnacentral:rRNA from 1 species
UACAGAGGUGGCAAGCGUUGUUCGGAUUUAUUGGGCGUAAAGGGUCCGUAGGCGGUUUGGAAAGUCGGAUGUGAAAUCCUACAGCUUAACUGUGGAACUGCAUUCGAAACUUCCGAACUAGAGUAUGAGAGGGGUUAAGGGAAUUCCCGGUGUAAGGGUGAAAUCUGCAGAGAUCGGGAGGAACACCAGUCGCGAAGGCGCUUAACUGGCUCAUUACUGACGCUCAGGGACGAAAGCUAGGGUAGCAAACGGG